ensembl:snoRNA
UGCACCUUACAGACCAGUGCAAACAGUAAAUCCUCUUUUGCAACCCAGAACUCAAUGUGGAGUAUGAGAUUUCUGGUACAUGUAAGAAGGAAUAUG